rnacentral:rRNA from 1 species
CGAACGCUGGCGGCGUGCCUAAUACAUGCAAGUGGGACGCAAGGGAACACACUGUGCUUGCACACCGUGUUUUCUUGAGUCGCGAACGGGUGAGUAACGCGUAGGUAACCUGCCUAUUAGCGGGGGAUAACUAUUGGAAACGAUAGCUAAUACCGCAUAAUAUUAAUUAUUGCAUGAUAAUUGAUUGAAAGAUGCAAGCGCAUCACUAGUAGAUGGACCUGCGUUGUAUUAGCUAGUUGGUAAGGUAAGAGCUUACCAAGGCGACGAUACAUAGCCGACCUGAGAGGGUGAUCGGCCACACUGGGACUGAGACACGGCCCAGACUUCUACGGGAGGCAGCAGUAGGGAAUCUUCGGCAAUGGACGAAAGUCUGACCGAGCAACGCCGCGUGAGUGAAGAAGGUUUUCGGAUCGUAAAGCUCUGUUGUAAGUCAAGAACGUGUGUGAGAGUGGAAAGGU